CCCAGGCUACCGAGCCUGGUGUCAACCGUUGCGCGCACACGGGGCCUGCGCGGGCCCGCGGACAGCGCGUGCACGGGAGCCGCGUCUCGUCGCAGCCCACCGAGCGCUCAGCGUGCGGCGGGUCCCACGCGUCGCCCACGCCCGCUAAGACCUCGUGCCACCCCGAACCCAAGCGGCCGGGGGGGGAGGGGGGCGGUCGGGCCCUGGGCUGGGUUGGCGUAGAGACCCGGGGACUUGGGAAUCUCUGUCCUGGACCUCACGUGUAGCCUGCAGUGGACAGCUGGGUGCAUGGCUGGGCCAGGGGACCUGGAGGCGGCAGUGGACACCGAGUACGGGCAAUGAGAAGGAGAACGGGAACAGGAUCCUGUCUGCUGCAGUGGCCACUGUAAUGCAGGCUUUCUGGAAGACUGGACCCUCCCUCCUCCACCUCCACCGGAUGUCACCAUGCGUGAAAUCCAGGCUGCCCGGAUCCCCAGUGGCUGGCGGGGUGGACUCUCGGAUGUGGAGGUGAAAACACCCUGACCUUGGGCGAGUCCCUUCACUGAGCCCGUGGUGAUGGCAGUAGUUGUACCCAGCUGCUCUGGUGACAUGCGGUGGGUGUGGCUGACACGGACACCAGCUGCCCUGAGGCAGGCAGCCUGUGUGGACGAGGAAGAAGCAGGUUCCUAAGGACGGAGGCUGCAGGGCGCAGAGAGCCUCUGCGUCUGCCCUGUGGCUGGAGAGACCAGGGGCCAGACAUCUGACUCCUCAGCGAUAAAGUCCUCCCCCAGAGGGUGGAAGUGAGGCCCAGAGAAGGCAAACAAACACCUGAGGACCUUCGUUGUGGACCACGCUGGCUGUCACGUGCAGACCCCCUGAGGACAUGGUGCCUGCCAUUCAGUUAAAAAUUUUGUUUCUUUUUGUU